rnacentral:rRNA from 1 species
UACGAGGGGGGCGAGCGUUGUUCGGAAUUAUUGGGCGUAAAGGGUGCGUAGGCGGUUCCGCAAGUCCUGUGUGAAAUCUUCGGGCUCAACUCGAAGUCUGCACGGGAUACUGCGAGGCUUGAGUGCUGUAGAGGGGGGUAGAAUGCCGGGUGUAGCGGUGGAAUGCGUAGAGAUCCGGCAGAAGACCGGUGGCGAAGGCGGCCCCCUGGGCAGUAACUGACACUGAGGCGCGACAGCGUGGGGAGCAAACAGG